CCUACGGGAGGCAGCAGUGGGGAAUAUUGGGCAAUGGGCGCAAGCCUGACCCAGCAACGCCGCGUGAAGGAAGAAGGCUCUCGGGUUGUAAACUUCUUUUCUCAGGGACGAAGACAGUGACGGUACCUGAGGAAUAAGCCACGGCUAACUACGUGCCAGCACCCGCGGUAAUACGUAGGUGGCAAGCGUUAUGCGGAUUUACUGGGUGUAAAGGGCGAGUAGGCGGGACUGCAAGUCAGAUGUGAAAACCACGGGCUCAACCUGUGGCCUGCAUUUGAAACUGUAGUUCUUGAGUACUGGAGAGGCAGACGGAAUUCCUAGUGUAGCGGUGAAAUGCGUAGAUAUUAGAAAGAACACCAGUGGCGAAGGCGGUCUGCUGGACAGCAUCUGACGCUGAGGCGCGAAAGCGUGGGGAGCAAACAGGAUUAGAUACCCGGGUAGUC
rnacentral:rRNA from 1 species